rnacentral:snRNA from 1 species
AUCGCUUCUCGGCCUUUUGGCCUUUUGCUCAGAUCAAGUGUAGUAUCUGUUCUUAUCAGUUUAAUAUCUGAUACGUCCCCCAUCGGGGGACUACAUAUUAAAUGGAUUUUUCGAACAGGGAGUCGGAAAUGGGGCUUGCUCCGUCCGCUCCACGCAUCGACGACCCGGUAUUGCAGUACCUCCGGGAACGGUGCAACACUU